rnacentral:lncRNA from 1 species
GGGGGCGCGGGAGCCCCGGCUAAGCCCGGGGACGGGAGGGCGCCCCCUCCCAGCGCCCGAACCCAGGCAACUUCCCGCCGCCCGGGCAGGAGUUUCUCCGUAGCCCACGGACAUCCGGGAGGCUUGUGGAGGGCAGGCGGGUAACCCCCACUCCCACCCCACCUUUAUCCAGGGGCAGCCAGAGGAGCCAGCAGGUCGGGACUCGCUGAGGGGGCUCCACGCGGGGCCUCCCACGCACAGACAAAAAGAACAGCGUAUGACUCAGUUAAGGAGGUGGCAGUGUGGACAAAACACACAGAGAGCAAGAGGAUGAGCCUUCCACUAAAGAUUGUUGACUGACCUAUGCCAUUCACUGUGCUCAGCUCUAUGGACACAAAGAUGAUUUAGAAGCAGCUGUUGUCCCUGGGAGCUCAGCCAGCAGUGAAACAGUCCCACAAAAUGGAGAAUUAAACACAUAUUCAUCUCCCUUUUCUCCCAAGACAUCCUCUAGACUUAUAGGAAGGAGAUUUAAAAGAAAACAUUAACACACAGUGAGGAAGAGAGGCCAUCGGCAGAUGAAGAUUCUACCAAGUUCUAGAAGAGCAGGUGGAGCAGAGGUGUGGGAUAGCAGUGUAACAGAGAGGAGAAAACAUUAGCUUAGAGCACUCAAAGAAGGGGGUUUGGGAAAGAAGGAACUUAUUUGCCCCUGGAGAAUCCCUAAGAGGGGGUCCCCAAGGGCCAGGUGUGGCAGAAGGCAAGAAAGCAAGCUGGUACCAGAAUAAGGGGAUUAUUUGAAAGGCCACUUACAAAGCAGUCAGCCCCUACACCAAAUGCAGUAUUUACAGGCAGAGCCCUAUCCUUAGGCCAGAACAUUGGAAGUCUCGUCUCAGGAUGACUGAGUUGUCCCAGAGGACAGGCAUGUGAGGAUGCCACUGAGCCAGCUCCCACUGAAAUCCCAAAAGCCACCCUCAGCUCCUAAGAAAACCCCACUCCAGAACACACAGCUCCCACAUGAUCAGUGUCUUAUUCUUAAAUAUAUAAAUAUAUAGCCAAAGCUAAUCCACCCCCAAGGAAAGUCCAGUGUGAUUGAGACCGAGGAAAACAAAGAGAAAACCCCUGAGGGAAUGGAAACAACAUAAGAAACAGAAAAGAACUGAAAACAAAACAAAACAAACCUCACUUUAAUGUUCACAAUACUAAAAAGGAAACCUCAGAGGACAAGAAAGUGCUCUUGGAAAUUAAAAUAUUUUAAAAAUGACUGCUGCCCAAAUAAAAUAUUCAGUAGAAUUAGCGAUAAAGUUAAGGAAAUCCCCCAGAAAGUGGAAGAUAAAAUUUUAGCAGAAUUGGAAAAUGCAGUUGAAGAAAUCUCCCAGAAAGCAGAGUAACAAGACAAAAGGAAAAGAUCAUCAAAAUGAAAAGAGAAUCAAUUUGAUAGGUUUAUGUUGGACUAUAGGAGUUCCAGAAAGAACAGAAAAUUGAAGGGAGGAAGUUAUCAAAUACAUAAUACUGGAAAAUUCUCAACCCUGAAGUUUAGAGGCCUUUAAAGAGUCCACUGAGUCCACCCAGCAAAAAGAAUGAAAAUAGAUCCACAGCAAUGCAUGUCAACCUAAAAUCUCAGAGUAUCAGAGACAAAGAGAAUAACCAAAAAACUUCCACAGAGAAAAUACAAAAUCCCAAUAAAUGUUACAAUGGCACA